CAAAUGUGCACAGAGGCAUUACUUCACCUCAUCUACUCACCUCCAGCACAGCCAUCUGGGGACGUUCCGGAUGCCAGAGCAAGUGUAUCUGCGUGAGGACACAAGUCCUUUGGUGGUUUGUCAUAAAACAGAGGCCAAUGCACUGAUCACUCCAUCCUACUAAGUCCCUGCAUCACAUGUCUGAUCCUGCGACUGUUUACUUCAAAGCAGAGAAUGUGGAACAAGGAGAGAAGGAAAGCAGCAAGAGGGGUCAGGACCUAAGCCACAGAGGCAUUUUCUUCUUGAUACUAUCAUCAGAAAACCUGAAGCAGCGUGAACAGGCACAAGGAGGCCCUCAGCAUUCGUUCCAGGAAAAAAGGCUGGCAAGCGUCGAGCAGCAGAGGUUGUGCCACGCAGUCGACCCACGAGCUCCGUGUAUGCAUGAACAGGGAGCUCCAGAACACCUCUCAUGGACUAGAGCUCUGUAAUCAGCAGCGGGGACCAGGGAGCCUCAGGCUUCAGCCCUCCGAAAAACUGAUUGCAUCCCAGGAAAAGCCUGAAAAUUUGAACAAGUGUGAAUUGCUGGGUUAUUAACACAAUUCUUCACAAUGGUUUGGGUGCCCUUAGAAGAUUUUCAGCCCCUCCUAGGGAUGAUGCUCGCCUUUCCCUCUGGAGAGGAAUUGCACGGUGAAAGGAGGUCAGGCUUGAGCUUUAGAGCUGUGUUAAAAACCCAGUUCAAUUCUACUACUCACUAAUUCUGGGAACUUCAAAUUUCUAUGUCUUAACCUGUAAAAUAAGGUUAGACAUAGCUCUCUAAUGGGAGUUUGUAAUAAUCGGAGUUACUGUUUAUAAAACACCCAGCAUAGUGUAGCACACAGAGCAUUAUUAUUUUCCACCACUAUGACUAUAGUUGAUGCAGUAUUAAAAGGUAAGAUGCAUAUAUUAACUUCAGUCAACAUAAAGAGAACUUCUGUGUGACCACAUUGCAGCAUAAAGCAAGGAGGAAACGUAAAUCUUCUGAAAAUCCAAUCGUUAUUAACAUAACUAAGAUAAAUGGCACUGCCCACAAUAUACAAAAUAAAAUAUACAAAAUAAGGGAAAAACAUUUGAUCUCUCCAUUUCUUUCCUUCUUUUAUUCUAUUAUUCAAAUUGAUGGAAAAAGUUCAUUCCACUUUUUAAAAAAUAAUUCAAUGCACAGAUACUUAUGAAGUUUCAAUCUAUGACUAUGACUUUAACACAUUCCAAAUUCUUUUCAAAUAUAUUUUAAAUAUAAAAAAUAUACUCAAGUAAAAUGUUUUCACUUAUAAUUUGAUUUCAAGAUGGCAGCCUGAAUCACAAGGUACAAUUCACAGUCCUUCCACAGUAUUUGGCAAUAUGCUUUAGAAGGCAAUAUGCUUAAUGUUUAAAAUCUUGGACUCUGUAGAAGAAAAUUCCAGGACUGUCACUUGCAAGCUGAGUGAAUUUGGCCCAACUGUAAAAUAGUUCUA
rnacentral:lncRNA from 1 species